rnacentral:rRNA from 1 species
UCCUACGGGAGGCAGCAGUGGGGAAUAUUGCACAAUGGGCGCAAGCCUGAUGCAGCAACGCCGCGUGAGGGACGAAGGCCUUCGGGUUGUAAACCUCUUUUAGUAGGGAAGAAGCGACUGGGUUUUCCUGGGAGUGACGGUACCUGCAGAAAAAGCACCGGCUAACUACGUGCCAGCAGCCGCGGUAAUACGUAGGGUGCAAGCGUUGUCCGGAAUUAUUGGGCGUAAAGAGCUCGUAGGCGGUUUGUCGCGUCUGCUGUGAAAACCCGAGGCUCAACCUCGGGCCUGCAGUGGGUACGGGCAGACUAGAGUGCGGUAGGGGAGAUUGGAAUUCCUGGUGUAGCGGUGGAAUGCGCAGAUAUCAGGAGGAACACCAAUGGCGAAGGCAGAUCUCUGGGCCGUAACUGACGCUGAGGAGCGAAAGCAUGGGGAGCGAACAGGAUUAGAUACCCUGGUAGUCCAUGCCGUAAACGUUGGGAACUAGAUGUGGGGACCAUUCCACGGUCUCCGUGUCGCAGCUAACGCAUUAAGUCCCCUGCCUGGGGAGUACGGCCGCAAGGCUAAAACUCAAAGGAAUUGACGGGGGCCCGCACAAGCGGCGGAGCAUGCGGAUUAAUUCGAUGCAACGCGAAGAACCUUACCAAGGCUUGACAUAUACCGGAAACGGCUGGAAACAGUCGCCCCGCAAGGUCGGUAUACAGGUGGUGCAUGGUUGUCGUCAGCUCGUGUCGUGAGAUGUUGGGUUAAGUCCCGCAACGAGCGCAACCCUCGUCCUAUGUUGCCAGCACGUAAUGGUGGGAACUCAUGGGAUACUGCCGGGGUCAACUCGGAGGAAGGUGGGGAUGACGUCAAAUCAUCAUGCCCCUUAUGUCUUGGGCUGCACGCAUGCUACAAUGGCCGGUACAAAGGGCUGCGAUACCGCAAGGUGGAGCGAAUCCCAAAAAGCCGGUCUCAGUUCGGAUUGAGGUCUGCAACUCGACCUCAUGAAGUCGGAGUCGCUAGUAAUCGCAGAUCAGCAACGCUGCGGUGAAUACGUUCCCGGGCCUUGUACACACCGCC